GAGUAACACGUAGAGUAACCUACCCUUCAGUGGGGAAUAACAUCCUGAAAGGGAUGCUAAUACCGCAUACGUUCUCGUCUUGAUAGAGGGAGAAGAAAGCUUUAGUGCUGAAGGAGGGGUCUGCGGCGGAUUAGCUAGUUGGGUGGGGUAACGGCCCUACCAAGGCAACGAUCCGUAGCUGGUCUGAGAGGACGAUCAGCCACACUGGGACUGAGACACGGCCCAG
rnacentral:rRNA from 1 species